AGAAAGUUACUGGAAUUUUAAAUACUUCUCCCCUAUCUGUUGCCUCGCUGUUGGACAUCUGUUUCCUGCCUGCAUUCUGUAGCCAGCUCUCUCAAACCGCUGUAACUUCAUCACUGACCACAACACAGCGAUAUAGGGCGCAGUUCUGGAGGACUAGUGGGCCUCUGUGUGCAUACUUGACUGUCAUUUGACUGGUAAUAAACAGGAUUUAUGAC